rnacentral:rRNA from 1 species
CGAGGAAUAUUGCACACUGGACGCAAGUCUGAUGCAGUAACGCCGCGUGGGGGAAGAAGACCUUCGGGUUGUAAACCUCUUUUUGUAAAGACGAGUGAGGACGGUAUUUAUAGAAUAAGUCUCGGCUAACUACGUGCCAGCAGCCGCGGUAAGACGUAGGAGGCGAGCGUUAUCCGGAUUCACUGGGCGUAAAGCGCAUGUAGGCGGUUCGUUAAGUCCGCGGUUAAAGCCCCCGGCUCAACUGGGGGAGGUUCGUGGAGACUAAGGGACUUGAGGGCAACAGAGGCACGUGGAACUCCCGGUGUAGCGGUGGAAUGCGUAGAGAUCGGGGAAGAACACCAGUGGCGAAGGCGACGUGCUGGGUUGCAACUGACGCUGAGAUGCGAAAGUGUGGGGAGCAAA